AUUGAACGCUGGCGGCAUGCUUUACACAUGCAAGUCGAACGGCAGCGCGGGCUUCGGCCUGGCGGCGAGUGGCGAACGGGUGAGUAAUGCAUCGGAACGUGCCCAGUAGUGGGGGAUAGCCCGGCGAAAGCCGGAUUAAUACCGCAUACGACCUGAGGGUGAAAGCGGGGGACCGAAAGGCCUCGCGCUAUUGGAGCGGCCGAUGUCGGAUUAGCUAGUUGGUGGGGUAAAGGCUUACCAAGGCGACGAUCCGUAGCUGGUCUGAGAGGACGACCAGCCACACUGGGAGUGAGACACGGCCCAGACUCCUACGGGAGGCAGCAGUGGGGAAUUUUGGACAAUGGGGGCAACCCUGAUCCAGCCAUGCCGCGUGCGGGAAGAAGGCCUUCGGGUUGUAAACCGCUUUUGUUCGGGAAGAAAUCCUCUGGGCUAAUACCCCGGGGGGAUGACGGUACCGGAAGAAUAAGCACCGGCUAACUACGUG
rnacentral:rRNA from 1 species